rnacentral:rRNA from 1 species
ACAUGCAGUCGAACGAAGGCUUCGGCCUUAGUGGCGCACGGGUGCGUAACGCGUGGGAAUCUGCCCCUUGGUUCGGAAUAACAGUUGGAAACGACUGCUAAUACCGGAUGACGACGUAAGUCCAAAGAUUUAUCGCCGAGGGAUGAGCCCGCGUAAGAUUAGCUAGUUGGUGUGGUAAAGGCGCACCAAGGCGACGAUCUUUAGCUGGUCUGAGAGGAUGAUCAGCCACACUGGGACUGAGACACGGCCCAGACUCCUACGGGAGGCAGCAGUGGGGAAUAUUGGACAAUGGGCGAAAGCCUGAUCCAGCAAUGCCGCGUGAGUGAUGAAGGCCUUAGGGUUGUAAAGCUCUUUUACCCGGGAUGAUAAUGACAGUACCGGGAGAAUAAGCUCCGGCUAACUCCGUGCCAGCAGCCGCGGUAAUACGGAGGGAGCUAGCGUUAUUCGGAAUUACUGGGCGUAAAGCGCACGUAGGCGGCUUUGUAA